rnacentral:rRNA from 1 species
UACGUAGGGUGCGAGCGUUGUCCGGAAUUAUUGGGCGUAAAGAGCUCGUAGGCGGUGUGUCACGUCGUUCGUGAAAACCUGCAGCUUAACUGUGGGCGUGCGGUCGAUACGGGCAUCACUGGAGUUCGGCAGGGGAGACUGGAAUUCCUGGUGUAGCGGUGAAAUGCGCAGAUAUCAGGAGGAACACCGGUGGCGAAGGCGGGUCUCUGGGCCGAUACUGACGCUGAGGAGUGAAAGCGUGGGGAGCAAACAGG